GCCGCGUUAGCUCAGUGGUAGAGCACUUCCAUGGUAAGGAAGGGGUCUCGAGUUCAAAUCUCGAACGUGGCUCCA
rnacentral:tRNA from 1 species